rnacentral:rRNA from 1 species
UACAGAGGGUGCAAGCGUUGUUCGGAAUUAUUGGGCGUAAAGGGCGCGUAGGCGGUGCGGUAAGUCUGUAGUGAAAUCUCUGGGCUCAACUCAGAGUCUGCUGCAGAAACUGCCGUGCUUGAGUGUGGGAGAGGUGAGUGGAAUUCCCAGUGUAGCGGUGAAAUGCGUUGAGAUGACUCGGAACACCAAUGGCGAAAGCACUUGUCUGGACGGAGACUGACGCUGAGAUACGAAAGCCAAGGGAGCGAACAGG